rnacentral:rRNA from 1 species
GACGAACGCUGGCGGCGUGCCUAAUACAUGCAAGUCGAGCGAAGCGGCGGAUGUUUGAGUAACGCGUGGGUACCCUGCCCUUAAGUCUGGGAUACCAUUUGGAAACAGAUGCUAAUACCGGAUCUUAAAGGAUGGACCUGCGAUGCAUUAGCUAGUUGGUACGGUAACGGCUUACCAAGUCGAUGAUCCAUAGCCGGGUUGAGAGACUGAUCGGCCACAUUGGGACUGAGAGACGGCACAAACGCCUACGGAAGGCAGCAGUAGGGAAUCUUCCACAAGGGACGAAAGUCUGAUGGAGCAACGCCGCGUGAGUGAAGAAGGUUUUCGGAUAGUAAAGCUCUGUGGUUGGUGAAGCGGUAAUCAACCAGAAAGGCACGGCUAACUACGUGCCAGCCGCCGCGAUAAUAC